rnacentral:rRNA from 1 species
CCUACGGGGGGCAGCAGUGGGGAAUAUUGCACAAUGGGGGAAACCCUGAUGCAGCAACGCCGCGUGAGUGAAGAAGGUUUUCGGAUUGUAAAGCUCUGUUAGCAGGGAAGAGGAAGGACGGUACCUGCAGAGGAAGCCACGGCUAACUACGUGCCAGCAGCCGCGGUAAUACGUAGGUCUCAAGCGUUGUUCGGAAUCACUGGGCGUAAAGCGUGCGUAGGCUGUUUCGUAAGUCGUGUGUGAAAGGCGCGGGCUCAACCCGCGGACGGCACAUGAUACUGCGAGACUAGAGUAAUGGAGGGGGAACCGGAAGUCUCGGUGUAGCAGUGAAAUGCUUAGAUAUCACGAAGAACUCCGAUUGCGAAGGCAGUUCACUGGACUGCAACUGACACUGAGGCUCGAAAGUGUGGGUAUCAAACAGGAUUAGAUACCCCAGUAGUC